AAAAAGGACAGCCCGAUGCACAGAGCAUCUCGUGUUCACAUAGGGUCUAAGGAGAAGUAGAGUAGACAGUCUAUCCUAAUGCAAGCAACACCAGCUGAUUCCAUAACUUGAACUCGUUAAAACAACUUUACUGUUGCUCCAAGGUUCACUUCAUGUUACAACAGGAUAAUGUCUCAAAAACAUCAGAGAAAAGAAUCGAGACGUUUAGGCUACGAUACAACACUCAGCAAUUUUGAAUCCUUCAAACAGUUGCAUAAAUGGCAAAUUAUAUACUGACUGCAAAUGCAUCUGCCAAAAUGAUCAUUUGUUGAGGUCUCAAUGAAGCCUCCUCUUAAGAAAAUUAAACAGCAGCAGGAGUUUUGCUGUCGAUAGACUUGAGCACUUCUUCACCCAUUUCCUUGCAUCCGACCAAUUUAUGUCCUGCUGAGUGAAUGUCACCAGUACGGAAUCCUCGAUUUAAGGUGUCUAAAACAGCUGCUUCAAUUCUCUGAGCAGCCUUCUCCUCACCUAGGCCAUACUUCAGAAGCAUAGCAGCGCUGAGCAUUGUUGCCAAAGGGUUUGCUUUAUCCUGCCCAGCAAUAUCAGGAGCAGAACCAUGUAUAGGUUCAAAUAAUCCAGGUCCCGCUGCACCAAGACUGGCAGAUGGAAGCAUCCCGAUACUUCCUGUAAUCAUUGAUGCUUCAUCGGACAGGAUGUCACCAAAUAUGUUGUUUGUCACAAUUGUAUCGAACUGUUUUGGGUUGCGAACAAGUUGCAUGGCUGCAUUAUCAACAUACAUGUGAGAGAGCUCUACAUCAGGAUACUCUGAGGCUAACGCUGUAACUAUCUUCCUCCAAAGCAUAGAGGCCUCCAAUACAUUUGCUUUAUCCACGCUACAUAGUUUUCCUCUACGCUUCCUUGCAGUUUCAAAUGCAAUACGAGCAAUUCUUUCGAUCUCAUAUGCUGCAUACACUUCAGUGUUGAAACCUAUUUCCUGACCAUUUUCAUCAGUGCUGAAUCCUCUUGGUUUGCCAAAAUAAAUACCUCCAGUAAGUUCCCUAACAACCAUUAGGUCUACACCUUCAGCAACUUCUUUCUUCAAAGUUGAAGCAUCUACUAACUGUGGUAAAACAGUGGCUGGUCUCAAGUUAGCAAAGACCUGCAAACCUUCUCGAAGUUGAAGCAAUCCAGUCUCGGGCUUCAAAUGUUUUUCAUUUUUGUCCCAUUUAUAUCCUCCAAUUGCUCCAAGAAGAGUAGCAUCAGAUUUCUUUGCAGAAUUAAGAGUCUCAUCAGGCAAUGGUACCCCUACAGCAUCCAAUGCAGCCCCUCCCAUAGGCAUCUCCUCAAAUGCAACUUCAAAUCCUUCAAUGGAGGAGACAAGUUGGAGGGCAUUUUUGGCAACAGAAAUUACUUCAGGUCCAAUACCAUCGCCGGAAAGAAGAGUAAUGUUGUAGCUUUUGCUGGGUGAAGAAGCGGAACAGCGAAUAGUACCCCAUUUAGUGGCGUGUUUGGGUACUUUUUUGGAAUGAAAUUGGUUAAAAGGAGUUGCAGUGAAUUGUAAAGAAGAAGAAGAAGCCGC
rnacentral:misc_RNA from 1 species